UACGUAGGGGGCAAGCGUUGUCCGGAAUCAUUGGGCGUAAAGAGCGUGUAGGCGGCCCGAUAAGUCCGCUGUGAAAGUCCAGGGCUCAACCCUGGAAUGCCGGUGGAUACUGUCGGGCUCGAGUUCGGAAGAGGUGACUGGAAUUCCUGGUGUAGCGGUGAAAUGCGCAGAUAUCAGGAGGAACACCGGUGGCGAAGGCGGGUCUCUGGGCCGAUACUGACGCUGAGGAGCGAAAGCGUGGGGAGCGAACAGG
rnacentral:rRNA from 1 species